GACGAACCGAGCGAACGUUGUUCGGAAUCACUGGGCUUAAAGGGCGCGUAGGCGGGCUGCCGCGUCCGGGGUGAAAUCCUCCGGCUCAACCGGGGAAGGGCCUCGGGUACGGGCGGCCUCGAGGGGGGUGAGGGGCGUGCGGAACUGUGGGUGGAGCGGUGAAAUGCGUUGAUAUCCACAGGAACUCCGGUGGCGAAGGCGGCACGCUGGACCCGCCCUGACGCUGAGGCGCGAAAGCCAGGGGAGCGAACGGG
rnacentral:rRNA from 1 species